CCCUUAGAUGUUCUGGGCCGCACGCGCGCUACACUGAUGCAUUCAACGAGUUUCUUCCUGGUCCGAGAGGAAUGGGUAACCUUUUGAAAGUGCAUCGUGAUAGGGAUAGACUAUUGCAAUUAUUGGUCUUCAACGAGGAAUUCCUAGUAGACGUAGUUCAUCAGACUGCAUCGAUUACGUCCCUGCCCUUUGUACACACCGCCCGUCGCUCCUACCGAUUGAAUGCUCAGGUGAGCCAUUCGGACUUUCAUCAUGCUGGUUUCCAGCUUUGAUGAAGGAAAGUCUUGCGAACCUUAUCAUUUAGAGGAAGGAGAAGUCGUAACA
rnacentral:rRNA from 1 species